rnacentral:rRNA from 1 species
UACGGGGGGAGCAAGCGUUGUUCGGAUUUACUGGGCGUAAAGGGCGCGUAGGCGGCGCGACAAGUCACUUGUGAAAUCUCCGGGCUUAACCCGGAGCGGCCAAGUGAUACUGUAGUGCUAGAGUGCGGAAGGGGCUACUGGAAUUCUCGGUGUAGCGGUGAAAUGCGCAGAUAUCAGGAGGAACACCGGUGGCGAAGGCGGGUCUCUGGGCUGACACUGACGCUCAUGCACGAAAGCGUGGGGAACAAACAGG